UGGGCAUUUGGUGCUAGAAAUGUUGUAUCUUUGGCUGGUUUUUGGUGCCUUACAAUUUAGGUGUGUGGUUGGUGUUUGUGGUAUGUAUUGAGAAUGGGUAGUUUUGGUUUGUUUGUGGUUGCCAUAUAUUACAGCUGUGUUGACAUCGCUACUAGGAUGUCGUCCUUUAUGAUUAGGUAUGGUAACUAGCAGCUUUCUCAAUUUUGUUGUUCUUGUUGUUGUUCGUCGAAGAGGCCUGCUAUUACUUUCUUUUUGGGUGUUUUUUUGGUCCCUGUAUAUGCUUCUUCCGGUGCCUGCUGGUCGUUACUAUGUGUGUUUUAUUGGCCUUGCAGUGCUUCUGUUUUGAGGCACAGUGUAUUUUGUGCUUUGUGAAUUUGAGAAUAAGCUUUGUUAAUCAGAUAUAUAGAAGUAUACAUCUUUUAGUUUUAUGUGAAACUGUAUUGGUGUGUGUGUGUUUCUAGAUUCUUUCUUUGAUAUAAACUGUGAUUCUUCUAUAGAAAAUCAAAAGAUAGUUAAGAUUAAGUGGUUACCAGGGAGCCGAAGAAUGUUGGAAUUGAAUAGUAUUAAGUAUAAUUGCUCUAUUUUAAGUUUGAACAGGUACAAUGUAAGAAACAAGAUGGUGGCAGGUCUUGUCUUCUCUACUUUUCUUCUGUUUUGUGGUUUGCAAGUGUUAUUUAUUUACUUCAUCUUACAUUUGGCUUCAGGUAUAUCCUUGCUACUCUCAAGGCAACGUGAUUCUCUCCUCUCCACACGUUGAACCAGUUUCAUGUGCUCUCAUGGCCAAAGGGUUGCAUGUGUUGGAAACAAUCUUAAUCUGCUGGUUUUGAGUAUUAAAAGCUAAGGUAAAAUUAGUAAUUUCAAUUCCACUCUCUUUCCCUCUUUUUAUGAACACUAAACUCACCCUUAAAGCCUUCACUCAUUUGGGGUCAAUUGCAUGUACACAUACUCUGUAAAUUGGGGUAAUUGAAAGUGUUAGGGAACUGAUUGAAAUGGAGAAAAGAAUUGAAGGUCGGAGCUUGGAAGGACUGUUGAUGGAACAAGAAAACAAGAGGAAUUGCUUAAGUUGUGUAAAAUCCGUAUUUGGGACAGGGCUCCACUCAAACGAGUUAUAUUGAGGUCUAGGCAUGAUUUCGAAGUGGAGGGUCUGAAGCUGAGUUUGUGCAGGAAUAUGGACUGUUCGUGAAGGCAUGCUUUCGAAUUUUGGCUUUAUCAAUGCUUAGCAAUGCAUUUAAUGCUCAGUAAUUCAUAUACUGAUUAGUUUAAAUGUAAAUUAUAUUUGGAUUUGAAGAUAUCCAUUGUAUUCUAGUAACUUGUAAAGAGAUUUGAGUAGCAUAUUUUCUAACCAAUACUUUUGUAUGGUACCUCUUCGAAUGUCUUAUGUGGUGUUUAAUUAUAAUCAAUGAAAUUUGUUGGCUCUUUUUUUUUUU